UACUCGGAAUUACUGGGCGUAAAGCGUCUGUAGGUUUUAAGGUAAGUCUGGGGUAAAAUUUCGGGGCUCAACCCCGAACUCGUCCCGGAAACUACCUCAAUUGAGUAAUGGAGAGGUAUCUGGAAUGCCGUGAGUAGGAGUAAAAUCCGUAGAUACACGGUAGAACGCCAAAAGCGAAGGCAGGAUACUAGCCAUUUGCUGACGCUGAGAGACGAAAGCGUGGGGAGCAAAGGGGAUUAGAUACCCCCGUAGUCCACGCCCUAAACGAUGUGUGCUCGAUGUAGGGUAUUUUCAAUUGUACUCUGUGUCUUAGCUAACGCGGUAAGCACACCGCCUGGGAAGUACGGUCGCAAGACUAAAACUCAAAGGAAUAGACGGGGACCCGCACAAGCGGUGGAGCAUGGGGUUUAAUUCGAUGAUAAGCGAAGCACCUCACCCAGGCUUGACAUCUUUGGAAUCCUCCAGAAACGGAGGAGUGCCGCAAGGAACCAAAAGACAGGCGCUGCACGGUUGUCGUCAGCUCGUGCCUUGAGGUGUACUGUUAAGUCAGCGAACGAGCGCAACCCUCAUCCUAUGUUGAUUUUUCAUGGGAGACUGCCGCCUCCAAGGCGGAGGAAGGUGGGGAUGACGUCAGAUCAGCGUGGCCCUUAUGCCUGGGGCAACACCCGUGCUACAAUGGUCGGUACAGAGGGCAGCCAACCCGCGAGGGGGAGCCAAUCCCAA
rnacentral:rRNA from 1 species